rnacentral:rRNA from 1 species
GAGCUUGCUCUUAUGAAGUUAGCGGCGGACGGGUGAGUAACACGUGGGUAACCUGCCCAUAAGACUGGGAUAACUCCGGGAAACCGGGGCUAAUACCGGAUAACAUUUUGAACCGCAUGGUUCGAAAUUGAAAGGCGGCUUCGGCUGUCACUUAUGGAUGGACCCGCGUCGCAUUAGCUAGUUGGUGAGGUAACGGCUCACCAAGGCAACGAUGCGUAGCCGACCUGAGAGGGUGAUCGGCCACACUGGGACUGAGACACGGCCCAGACUCCUACGGGAGGCAGCAGUAGGGAAUCUUCCGCAAUGGACGAAAGUCUGACGGAGCAACGCCGCGUGAGUGAUGAAGGCUUUCGGGUCGUAAAACUCUGUUGUUAGGGAAGAACAAGUGCUAGUUGAAUAAGCUGGCACCUUGACGGUACCUAACCAGAAAGCCACGGCUAACUACGUGCCAGCAGCCGCGGUAAUACGUAGGUGGCAAGCGUUAUCCGGAAUUAUUGGGCGUAAAGCGCGCGCAGGUGGUUUCUUAAGUCUGAUGUGAAAGCCCACGGCUCAACCGUGGAGGGUCAUUGGAAACUGGGAGACUUGAGUGCAGAAGAGGAAAGUGGAAUUCCAUGUGUAGCGGUGAAAUGCGUAGAGAUAUGGAGGAACACCAGUGGCGAAGGCGACUUUCUGGUCUGUAACUGACACUGAGGCGCGAAAGCGUGGGGAGCAAACAGG